GUAGUCCAGAAUUCGGCUUAGAGUUUGAUCCUGGCUCAGGAUGAACGCUGGCGGCGUGCCUAAUACAUGCAAGUCGAACGAGGGUGCUUGCACCCUAGUGGCGAACGGGUGAGUAACACGUAGGUAACCUGCCCUUAAGCUUGGGAUACCCAGAGGAAACUUUGGCUAAUACCGGAUAACAACAGAGGAGGCAUCUCCUUUGCUUGAAAGGCCCUGCAAGGGGUCACUUAAGGAUGGACCUGCGGCGCAUUAGCUAGUUGGUGAGAUAACAGCCCACCAAGGCGAGGAUGCGUAGCCGACCUGAGAGGGUGAUCGGCCACAUUGGAACUGAGACACGGUCCAAACUCCUACGGGAGGCAGCAGUAAGGAGUUUUCGGCAAUGGGGGAAACCCUGACCGAGCAACGCCGCGUGAGUGAUGACGGCCCUAUGGGUUGUAAAGCUCUGUUGUAAGGGACGAAUGAAUUGCUUAGGAAAUGAAGCGAUUUUGACAGUACCUUACCAGAAAGCCACGGCUAACUACGUGCCAGCAGCCGCGGUAAUACGUAGGUGGCAAGCGUUAUCCGGAAUUAUUGGGCGUAAAGAGGGAGCAGGCGACAAGAUAAGUUUGAAGUGAAAGCGUGGGGCUCAACCCCAUACAGCUUCGAAAACUGUCUAGUUAGAGUACGAGAGAAGUGAACGGAACUCCAUGUGUAGCGGUGAAAUGCGUAGAUAUAUAGAAGAACACCAGUGGCGAAGGCGGUUCACUAGCUCGAAACUGACGCUCAGUCCCGAAAGCGUGGGUAGCAAAUAGGAUUAGAAC
rnacentral:rRNA from 1 species